rnacentral:rRNA from 1 species
UCCUCCAAGGCUAAAUACUCCUGACUGACCGAUAGUGAACCAGUACCGUGAGGGAAAGGCGAAAAGAACCCCGGCGAGGGGAGUGAAAAAGAACCUGAAACCGUGUACGUACAAGCAGUGGGAGCACAGGUUUACCUGUGUGACUGCGUACCUUUUGUAUAAUGGGUCAGCGACUUAUAUUCUGUAGCAAGGUUAACCGAAUAGGGGAGCCGGAGGGAAACCGAGUCUUAAUUGGGCGUUAAGUUGCAGGGUAUAGACCCGAAACCCGGUGAUCUAGCCAUGGGCAGGUUGAAGGUUGGGUAACACUAACUGGAGGACCGAACCGACUAAUGUUGAAAAAUUAGCGGAUGACCUGUGGCUGGGGGUGAAAGGCCAAUCAAACCGGGAGAUAGCUGGUUCUCCCCGAAAGCUAUUUAGGUAGCGCCUCGUGAAUUCAUCUCCGGGGGUAGAGCACUGUUUCGGCUAGGGGGCCAUCCCGGCUUACCAACCCGAUGCAAACUGCGAAUACCGGAGAAUGUUAUCACGGGAGACACACGGCGGGUGCUAACGUCCGUCGUGAAGAGGGAAACAACCCAGACCGCCAGCUAAGGUCCCAAAGUCAUGGUUAAGUGGGAAACGAUGUGGGAAGGCCCAGACAGCCAGGAUGUUGGCUUAGAAGCAGCCAUCAUUUAAAGAAAGCGUAAUAGCUCACUGGUCGAGUCGGCCUGCGCGGAAGAUGUAACGGGGCUAAACCAUGCACCGAAGCUGCGGCAGCGACGCUGAUGCGUUGUUGGGUAGGGGAGCGUUCUGUAAGCCUGCGAAGGUGGCCUGUGAGGGUUGCUGGAGGUAUCAGAAGUGCGAAUGCUGACAUAAGUAACGAUAAAGCGGGUGAAAAGCCCGCUCGCCGGAAGACCAAGGGUUCCUGUCCAACGUUAAUCGGGGCAGGGUGAGUCGACCCCUAAGGCGAGGCCGAAAGGCGUAGUCGAUGGGAAACGGGUUAAUAUUCCCGUACUUGGUGUUACUGCGAAGGGGGGACGGAGAAGGCUAUGUUGGCCGGGCGACGGUUGUCCCGGUUUAAGCGUGUAGG